rnacentral:rRNA from 1 species
AGCGAACGCUGGCGGCAGGCCUAACACAUGCAAGUCGAACGAAGUCUUCGGACUUAGUGGCGGACGGGUGAGUAACACGUGGGAACGUGCCUUUAGGUUCGGAAUAACUCAGGGAAACUUGUGCUAAUACCGAAUGUGCCCUCCGGGGGAAAGAUUUCUCGCCUAUAGAGCGGCCCGCGUCUGAUUAGCUAGUUGGUGAGGUAAAGGCUCACCAAGGCGACGAUCAGUAGCAGGUCUGAGAGGAUGAUCAUCCACAUUGGGACUGAGACACGGCCCAAACUCCUACGGGAGGCAGCAGUGGGGAAUCUUGCGCAAUGGGCGAAAGCCUGACGCAGCCAUGCCGCGUGAAUGAUGAAGGUCUUAGGAUUGUAAAAUUCUUUCACCGGGGACGAUAAUGACGGUACCCGGAGAAGAAGCCCCGGCUAACUUCGUGCCAGCAGCCGCGGUAACAC